rnacentral:lncRNA from 1 species
GUUCGGUUCCCAGCACCCACAUACAGGAGCUCCAACGACCUCUUCUGACUCCAUAGGCGCUGGUAUGUCUGUGGUGCACAGAUAUACAUGCAGGCAAACCACACGCACACAUGGAAAAAACAAAUUGUUUUAAAAGAAGUCUUAUACAAGACUAGCUACAAAUGCAUAUUUUGGUUUGGAUUAUAGAUUUUACCCCUAAAUACUAAAGAUUCAUAAACCUGAGUGUCAUGAUUACACUUCACACUAAAAUGGCCUUUUUCAGUUGAAAAAAAAAGCUAAGACCUCCUCAAAUGUUUCCUUCUUUAAAAAAAAAGUGAACAGCAUAAGGCAGACACAGUUUAUUAGAGAUGAGAGUCAUCUACAAAAUUCUGAGUUUGGCGUUCUACCCACAUAGUGUCCUAAACACAACAGAUACUUUUGUGUUUCUGUACUGUCACCCCUGGGGCCUAAUGGUUGCAGUUAGCAGACAGGUGCUGGAAUCUGGCAGAGAAAAUUAGGCUUUCUCCUCGGCUGAGGCAUUUCAGUUCUCCACUUCUCUUCAGGUAAAGACAGCAGUUCCUUCCCUGCAAGGUAGAGAUUUAAAGAAAACACUUCAUCUAGGGCCAAGUGCUACAGUAUCGCAGUCUAUCUCUUAAGGCUCCCAUGGGGUUUCAAUCAAGGAGAAACCAGAUUAACCCACCCCACCCCACCUCAACCCUAGAUUUCAAAGUAUUCACUAUUCCAUGUAUUCUUUUGUUACCAUUGAAUUUCUCCAAGGAACUCCAUCUGACAGUCCUGGACUAGUAGAUUCCUGCAAAAACCUUUUUCACAUUUCAACACUUUUCAAGAGUUCAUCGUGACCAAACCAUAAUAGAAGGUUCGGAAGGGACACUAGAGCUCUGCUGGAGGAGGACUUUGGGAAACAGCACUAUUCAAGAGCUGUAAUCGAGCUAAAAGCACAAUUUAAUUAAACACACACAUGAGACUUACCCAUACUCCAGAGUAUGCCAAUUUAAAUAUCCCAUUAAAAGAGCUAUUCUUAAUGACUGAGCUUUGGGGGGCAGUGUCUUGGAAUUUCCAACCCCAAUAAGCCUAUCUUAAAAAAAAAAAAAAAAACCACGUAAUCCAGUUAUUAUAAGUAUAAGAUAUAAGCCUAGAUUGGGCAGAUCUAACACUAUACUAACAUUCCCCAGCUAUAAGACCCCUUGCUACUUGUGGUUUCUCCUGGCCACGUGGUUCUGCUCCAACAUGGCUAUUGUCCUCACUGUCUUCCUUCCUCCUCUCGUCCUCCCUCUUCCCUACUUGUGCCCAUUCUCAGAGAUCUCCCGUUCUUCCUAUCCCACCACUGCCCAAAAAACGGGCUCUCGCCUUUAUUGACCAGUUAAAAUGGGAAGGUUCGCAGGACUUCACCUGCUGCGACUGCUCUAGGGGGCAACCCCUCUGGAGGAAGCAGAAUUAACAUCAGAAUACAAACAGCACCAGGACAACCCACAACCAAGCAGGAUUUAAACUGUGAGCCUAAGAUAAAUGGCUCUCUGCCUACCCUUUAGCCCCAAUCUUGUGAAUUCAUAAAGAGCUAAGGGUUAUCAUAACUGAGGAUCACUGAGGGGCUCCUAGAAGAGAUGAACCUUUCCUUCUCCAUGCUGUUGACAGCAUACUUAAGGGUAGCGAAAUCGACAAAGGAGAAUUUAAUUCCCUCACUGGGAAUUUUUUUUUUCCCAGUUUAUGUGUGCACAUUGAAAAACUCUUAGGUAACAGAUGUUGAAGUGGCCCCCACCCUCCCCCAUGGUUCCUACUGCAAAAUCGUUAUCCUCCACAAUUACACAAAAUAUAUAUUUUAGUGCUUUGAACACGUGGACCCCACUUAGAACCUCGUUGGCAGUGCUGCCUUGGGAGGCUUAGGAGAUGUACUUGUUCCUUGUUGGAGGAAGUACGUCACUAGGGGUAGGCUUUGAGAGUUUAAAGAUGCAUGCCAUUCCCAGUUCACUUUGUAUGAACACAAUCAAGUGUGUCUCUGCUUCCUGUAAGAUAAACGCUCUCAGUUUGCUGCUCCAAAUGCCAGCUGCCUGCUGCCAUGCCUCCCCAGCAUGACUGUGCCUAUCCCUCUGCAACUGUAAAACCAAAGAAACUCUUCUGUCAGUUGCCUUGGUCAUGGUGAUUUAUCACAGCAAUAGAAAAUAAACUAAUACAAUAUUGCUGG